rnacentral:rRNA from 1 species
UACAGAGGGUGCAAGCGUUGUUCGGAAUUAUUGGGCGUAAAGCGCGUGUAGGCGGCUUGGCAAGUCGGGUGUGAAAGCCCUCAGCUCAACUGAGGAAGUGCGCCCGAAACUGCUUUGCUCGAGUGCCGGAGAGGGUCGCGGAAUUCCCCAAGUAGAGGUGAAAUUCGUAGAUAUGGGGAGGAACACCGGUGGCGAAGGCGGCGACCUGGACGGUAACUGACGCUGAGACGCGAAAGCGUGGGUAGCAAACAGG